CACUAAAAUGGAAAAACAACGAAACAUGGGUUACCAUUCCUCCAUACUUGUCCUGCUCCUCUUCCUGUCUGCCGCCUUAUCAUCGUCGGUGGCGGACAUGUCCAUCCUAACUUACGAUGAAAACCAUCACAUUCACAUGAACAGCCAGUGAACAAACUGGCGUACUGAUGCUGAAGUGUUGGCUUUGUACGAGUCGUGGCUAGUCCGGCACGGCAAGUCCUACAACGCUUUAGAUGAAAAAGAUAAGCGUUUUCAGAUCUUUAAGGAUAACUUAAAAUACAUCGAUGAACAAAAUGCUAUGCCCGAUCGGACUUACAAGCUGGGUAUAACCCGGUUCGCUGAUCUGACAAACGAGGAGUACCGGUCCAUGUACCUAGGUACUAAGAUCGAUGGUCCACGUAAGUUGUCUAAGAACCAAAAGUGACCGUUAUGCUCCUAAGGCCGGAGAUAGCUUGCCGGAGUCAGUUGAUUGGAGAGAGAAAGGUGUUCUUGUUGGUGUUAAGGAUCAAGGACAGUGUGGUGAGCUUUUGCAUUCUUUUUCAUUUCAGGAGUUUAACUUUUUUAUAAU
rnacentral:lncRNA from 1 species